UCGUUAUACGCCUAGCAGCAUUAUACGACUAUAUUAUCAAUUUUUAUAGGUUGAUAAUAUAGUCGUAUAAUGCUGCUAGGCAUAUAUAAGA
rnacentral:sRNA from 1 species